AUGAAGUUGAACACGGCAGAAGAAGAAGACUACAUGUCUGAUUCCUUUGUUAAUGUCCAGCAAGAUGUUAGGCCAGGCUUACCAAUGCUGAGGCAAGUACGAGAAGCUCGUCGAAAAGAAGAAAAACAACAAGAAGCUAAUUUGAAAAAUAGGCAGAAGAGUUUAAAACAGGAAGAACAAGAAAGACGUGACAUUGGGUUGAAGAAUGCACUAGGUUGUGAAAACAGAGGGUUUGCUUUGCUCCAAAAGAUGGGAUAUAGGAGCGGCCAGGCUCUUGGCAAGAGUGGAGAUGGUAUUGUUGAACCAAUUCCACUCACUGUCAAAACAGGCAAAGGUGGUAUUGGUCACGAGACAUCAUUAAAACGAAAAGCAGAAGAAAGAUUAGAAAGCUACAAAAGAAAAGUUCACAUGAAAAACCAAGCCCAAGAAAAUGCUGCAGAACAGUUUCGAAUGCGCCUUAAAAAUAAGCAAGAUGAAAUGAAGCUAGAAGGAGAUCUCAAAAGAAGCCAACGAGCCUGUCAGCAGUUAGAUAAUCAGAAGAAUAUUCAAAUUCCCAGAGAGUCAUGGUACUGGUUAAGGCCGGAAGAGGAGAGUGAAGAGGAAGAAGAAAAAGAAGAUGAAGAUGAAUAUAAGAGUGAAGAUUUAAGUGUACUGGAAAAGUUACAAAUACUGACUGAUUAUUUAAGAGAAGAACAUUUGUAUUACAUAAGGUUUUCUGAGAUCUACUAUUUCAGAAGUGGCUGUGGACGUGGAAUGGACUGAGCAAAUGGAUUUGAUUCUUGUAGCGUAUGUGAAUUUGUUAGACAUAGUGGACAUCAUAGAUCUUCUUUUUCACAUUAUACUGGCCUGAAAUAUGAAGACAAAUGUGGAGGUAGAUCUCACAACUGGGUAGCUGUCAAAGAUGAAUUAGCAGUGUCCCAAAUACAUUUCAAAACAAAUGUCAUAUAAUUGCCGUAUCGUGGCUCAAUCAAAUAUUUCUGAGGAUACACUCAAAGUGAAGAACAUACAGAAGCCAACUCUGAGACAAAAGAAAAUGAAGUUGAAGAGGAAAGAAAGAGCAUCCAAAAGAAAUGGCAUUGGAUAAGUGGAAGCUUAUUCAAAAUGAAGACCUGAAUAAAGUAGAAUUUAAUAUCCACAAACCAAAUGAAGUUUCUGAAGGACAGUGGAAAACAGGACUUAUUCUUCAUAAGUCAAAGUGAAUAGGCCCAUUCAAAAGACUUGACUACAUAUCAUUGUUUCUGGAAGCCAGCAAAUGAUAUAUAGUAUCUCAGCUCGAGAUAAAUUUUCAGUGACCUUGCCGCCCAGGAUUUGGAGGUAAGUGAGAGAGAGGAUGACAUGGGCAUGAUGGGUGUUCCAACCAUGGCAGCAGGACUCACAAGUCCAGUGCUUCCGCUCCUGAUGUAGAUGAUACAAAUUCUUAG